UGGCGGCAUGCUAACACAUGCAGUCGAACGGUACAGGCCCGCAAGGGUGCUGACCGAGUGGGCGGACGGGUGAGGAAUACAUCGGAAUUUGCCCAGUCGUGGGGGAUAACGUAGGGAAACUUACGCUAAUACCGCAUACGACCUAACGGUGAAAGCGGGGGAUCGCAAGACCUCGCGCGAGUGGAUGAGCCGAUGUCGGAUUAGCUAGUUGGCGGGGUAAAGGCCCACCAAGGCGACGAUCCGUAGCUGGUCUGAGAGGAUGAUCAGCACACUGGGACUGAGACACGGCCCAGACUCCUACGGGAGGCAGCAGUGGGGAAUAUUGGACAAUGGGGGCAACCCUGAUCCAGCAAUGCCGCGUGUGUGAAGAAGGCCUUCGGGUUGUAAAGCACUUUUAUCCGGAACGAAACGCGCAGGGUGAAUAUCCUUGCGAACUGACGGUACCGGAGGAAUAAGCACCGGCUAACUUCGUGCCAGCAGCCGCGGUAAUACGAAGGGUGCAAGCGUUACUCGGAAUUACUGGGCGUAAAGGGUGCGUAGGUGGUUGUUUAAGUCUGUUGUGAAAGCCCCGGGCUCAACUGGGAAUGGAAUGGAUACUUGGACAGCUAAGUGCGGUAGAGGGUAGUGGAAUUCCCGGUGUA
rnacentral:rRNA from 1 species